GAGACAAAGGAGCAUCGGCCUCAGAUGAAAAUCUCAGAAGCUGUAGGGAUGGCUGUCUGCCCGGAAGCCUGCCCCCGACCCCUUGCUCAGCACAGCUAGCUUCCCCUGCCCUGCAGGAAGCUGGACAGGAUGGGGGAAAGCCUGAGUUAGCUGAGUUAGUCCUGGAGUACAGGGUGCCUAUGGGAGCCUACAGGACGAUGACAUCAGAACAGUGACAUCACAAUGAAAACCUCCAAAAACGGUGAGGAGGAGCAAAAGCCCUGCUUUCUCACCCCAGGAAACGGGCACCCUGAGAAGGGAGAUGCUUGGUCCUGACCUGCCUGACUCUGCCUGGAACACCAGGCUCCUCUGCCAUGUCAUGCUUUGUCUCCUGGGGACAGGUUCAGUGGCUGCUGGAGUCACCCAGGCCCCAAGGCACCUGAUCAAAGAAAAGAGGGAAACAGCUACUCUGCAAUGCUAUCCUAUCCCUGAACACGACACUGUCUACUGGUACCAGCAGGGCCCAGGGCAGGGCCCCCAGUUCCUCAUUUCAUUUUAUGAAAAGAUGCAGAGAGAUAAAGGAAGCAUCCCCGAUCGAUUCUCAGCUCAACAGUUCAGUGACUAUCAUUCUGAACUGAACAUGAGCUCCUUGGAGCUGGGGGACUCAGCCGUGUACCUCUGUGCCAGCAGCUUAGGCACAGCCCUGCAGAAUUACUGGCUUUCUGUACCCAAACCCCCCUGUCUCAGUUGGGGAUGUAACAGAGAGAAGGAGGUGGGGGCUGCCACACAGCUUUAGCCAAGCCCCAGAGAUGCUUCUAGUUCUUUUCUAACGUUUUCCCCCAUCCUGCUGAGCUCAGUGAGA